ensembl:lncRNA
AUAUGACAUAAGUGUUGCAUUAUGUUUUGCAUGUUCUAUGUUCACAUAAUUGUAUGUUAUACACCUAUGCAGCAUUCAGGCGUAUUCAGGCAGCCUAUUUUACAAAGGAAGUUAGCUGCCCCGAUCAAAGACUGGACAAUGUGUUUUUUAAUAAAGGUUUAUUAAUGAUUAAAUAAUAAUAAUUAUAAAUCUGAUUUCUACUGGGCCGAAGGUCAUUUUACACACAGAAGUUAAAAACCAGGACGUAGGUGAGGAGCAGUAUUUCUUCUGCAAGCUGUAGGACUUGACUGGGAGCCAGUGGAGGCACAUGAGGGUGGGGGUGAUGUGGGAGUUCUGAACAUGGCUCAAAUAGGCAGACGAGCUAGGACAGCAUUUCAGUGGUCCAGGCGGGAGCAGGAGGUGAUAAAGGCAUGAAAUGUAAGGAGGUACUGAGUUUAACCAAAUUGCCCCUUAAUAAGAUUGCCCCCUGUUCUGCUGCUGUUUAUGGCUGUAGAACAGAUAAAUAAUCAUGAAAAAAAUGUACGAUGUCAACACAUUAAAAAGUAAUCCUAGCUUCACAGCUUGGGAAUUACUUCAUUCACGAUUGUUUUAUUUAAUACACCAGUAAUCUUAUCCCUGGAAUUAGCGUUAUGACACCGUCAAAUGAGGUUAAGGAAAUACGAGCCUUACACAGCUGUGAAUUAAUUCAACCGAAAUCACCCCGAUAAUCUAAUGACUGUAGCAGCGGUAUCAUUAAAGACCAGUGGAACUAUAAUAUUGGUUAAAAUAGGAAACCAUCCAAAAUAAGUACUGCGUUGCUGUUGCAAUACUGGAAAUAGCUGUGACUCUGUCUCCAUCAGAGUCCACAUUUUCUGUGAUGGCAGGAGGGACAGCACACUGUAAGAUGCAUAUUUUCCAAUACCAAGUAUUUGUUUAUUUAUAAACUAAAAGAUUAUGGUUUAACUUCAGUUGCAGGCAAGAUUCCCUUUGGGUUUACACCAGAAAGGGAAUCCUACCCAAUGUGGGUGACAUGUGGAAAGGGAGCAGCCAAAAAAUACUUACCGUGGAACAGUCUUGAGCCACCACUUAUUUCUUUUUGUUUUGUGCCAAGGAAUCAAACUUUAAUUUUUUUUAAAUGGUCUUGAAGAAUACUUUUGAGCAGGUGUUGUGACUACAUAUAACAGAACACUUAGAAAGAAUCAAUUUUAAGUGGUAUCUUUAGACCACUUGUGAGUAACAUUUUUCCCAUUUCUAUUAAUGAAAAUCUUCAAAGAUAACCCAGUUUAGCAGGACUAAAAAAAGCAUUUUCGCACCAACAAGGUGAUUACCAAAGCACUUUUCGCCAAAUCUCAACAUAUUUCCACAUGGAGGUUAAUUCAUGAAAUCACAAACACCAAAAUGUAUGGACAGAAUUUGAUCCGCCAUGCAGUACCCUCUGAUUGGUAAUGGUUUCAUUUGUCAUCAUGACGAUAAUCCCAAACACAUUGCCAAUACAAUAAAAGCAUGCCUGGAUCGAGGUAUGUCAUUUCUUGUUAGAAUAAGGCACAGUGUGCAUACAUUCAUGGUUUUAAUAUGAUAUUUGAUAUGUUUAUAUUGGAUUAUGGACUUUGCUGCCUACUACAUGGUAGGAAUACAGUAUUUUUCUUCAUAACUAUUUAUAAAAAUGUAAUGUUUUUUUUUUAAACCUAUAUCUCUGAGAUCACACGUGGAGAGAUAUAAAUGAUAUUAUUCCCUUUCUGAAAUUUUUCUUGCUCUACUGUAUGUCUAACUGGUUUCCUACAAGUGAUCUUAUUGCCUUACAUACAAGAAUUAACUUGUCACUUGUCCUUUUUGUCAAUUUUACAGCUUGGCUGUUCAGAUUGAAAGCCUCAAGCGACCAAGCAUUCUGCAUUCUCUCAUGCUGCAUUUCGUCUCUCAGCAUUGCUUUACACUGCCAAACGAGGAAAAAUGCCACGGCAAAAAAAGCUGUUCUAGAGGCUUCACUAAAGCCUCUGACCUACAUCAAGUGCUUAAGAAGAUAGAGGAAAAAGACUCUGCUGGGGUGCGAAUUUCAGGCACUGACAGAAAAAGAGGGAUUCCUGUUCGCCUUUAUAAGCGAUGCCUGAGGCUAGAAAGCGGAGCUGAUAUUAUGGCACGGUUCAGAUGACUGUAGAAUAAGCUGCUAUGUGCAGUAACAAUAAAUGUUAUAAGCUUUAGAUUUCACGCAGGCUUUGCUCUUUCUCCCUGAUGGUGGAAAAUUGCAGCAUUUUAAGAAGUAAGGCCCUCGACUAGCAAAGUAUGGUCUUAUAAAUGUAAUUACAUUCUUAUAAAUGUAAGUUAGCGUUUGCAUGUGGACUUGCAAAUGAUUGGAUUGUGGA